GAGUAUUCAGCCGGUGAGGUCUUAGCUUUGCAAAAGCUAGUGAAAGAAAUUUAUUUCUUAAUACUUU
rnacentral:tRNA from 1 species